UGCAGUCCAUUGGGAGUGGUUACGUCAUGAGAACACUGCCUAAGGUAAUGAGGAAGCCUGCAGAGAAGGCAGCCGAUCAAGGCUCUCUAUGGGUCGAGCAUGCACUUCAAACUUUUCUAUUGUCUGGCCCUUUUAUUCUGGACCGCAAGCUCCGCGGACAAUGAGGUCAUCCAGAAUCCUAGAUAUCUGGUCAAAGGAAAAGAACAGAAAGCCAAAAUGGAUUGCAUCCCCAUAAAAGGACAUAGUUACGUUUACUGGUACUAUAAGAAGCUGGGAGAAGAACUCAAGUUUUUGGUUUACUUCCAGAAUGCGGACAUCGUCGAUAAAACAGAUGUGAUCGAUAAACAUAUUUCAGCCAGAUGCCCCACAGGCUCACCAUGCACCAUCGAGAUCCAGUCGAGCGAGCCCACAGAUUCGGCUGUGUACUUCUGUGCUAGCAGUCAAUACACAGUGCUGGCUGCUGGCUUUUCUUAGAACACAAACUCAUUA